GUAUAUUAUACAUAGCAACUUUAAUGACUGAUGCCAUUUCUAAUGAUUGACUCAAUAAAUCAAAUCCGUUAGAAAAGUGGUAAAUUCGCAGCGGUCGUGCAUUGUUUAAAAAAAACGUGUAUCAAAAUCGAUUUUUACACAUUUUUUCAAUUAUAUCAAGUGUGUUUCAAAAGUGUUAGACUUGAAGUGUGCAGUCGGUAAUUGUGCACAAAAAUGUGGUCAAAAUUCAUGUAUUAUUCAAUGAAAUAACUGCCAUCAACUCCUAUAUGCCGACCUUAAAAUAAUAAUUCAAUGUAUGGUACAUAUUGACUUAUCGCCUAAAUCAAAGCAUACUUGACCACUUUUUGGAAACAUAGGAAAAAAAUGUGGUUUUCAUGACCAUUUAAACCAACAGGAAUUUAAACAUCGCCUUCGUUCGUAUCUUUAGAGUCACAACGUAGCGGUUUUAACCGAUUGUGGCAAUGUUGACACGGUUACCUCUUAUAG